rnacentral:rRNA from 1 species
AUUGAACGCUGGCGGCAUGCCUUACACAUGCAAGUCGAACGGCAGCAUGAUCUCGCUUGCUAGAUUGAUGGCGAGUGGCGAACGGGUGAGUAAUACAUCGGAACGUGCCCUGUAGUGGGGGAUAACUAGUCGAAAGAUUAGCUAAUACCGCAUACGACCUGAGGGUGAAAGUGGGGGACCGCAAGGCCUCAUGCUAUAGGAGCGGCCGAUGUCUGAUUAGCUAGUUGGUGAGGUAAAGGCUCACCAAGGCGACGAUCAGUAGCUGGUCUGAGAGGACGAUCAGCCACACUGGGACUGAGACACGGCCCAGACUCCUACGGGAGGCAGCAGUGGGGAAUUUUGGACAAUGGGCGAAAGCCUGAUCCAGCAAUGCCGCGUGUGUGAAGAAGGCCGUCGGGUUGUAAAGCACUUUUGUCCGGAAAGAAAUGGCUCUGGUUAAUACCUGGGGUCGAUGACGGUACCGGAAGAAUAAGGACCGGCUAACUACG